UGGCGGCAGCAGUGGUUAGACAGCUUGCGAAGACGAGCGCGUAUAGUACUGGCGACCAAGCCGUAAUAACAUGGUACCAGAUGGCAAGCGGGUGGCCGGCGGGGGGUGGAAGGGGCAGUUUUCGCAGUCGUCACAACCACCAUGCCCGUUUGUAUCGUUAUUGUCUCUCGGUGCUUCUGAAUGCUUUGCCCUACUCGACAGACAACGGUAACUGAGGCUGCUGCAAUGGGACAAAAGCAAAACAGACGGUCUUGGCGUCAGCCAUGCUCAAUAGGCAAGGAAAGCAGCCAUGUUGAUAAAACCGGCGGACUAAUGUUGUUGUUGUCGCUGUCGCUGCUGUUGUUGCACGCUAUUGUUGCAGAAGCUAGUAUAGACACUGACUGUUGAUGGCUUUGCUGACAAAGUUUCACAACAGAUAAAUAUCAGUCGACACUCACGUGCACUAAGCGCCUACUUGACUGUCAUGAUGUGACAACAUUAUGAUGUCGUUUUUGGGGGGUUCCGCAGGGCAUCAUACUAAGUAUCGUGCCAGCCUAUCUGACCAGCAUGACUAAUGUUACAGGAAGUCUAACAAGAGAAUCGUCGGAGCGCUAGAAGCUGCGUUUACGUUAUUCUGUUUGUAACUGGCGAUAAAUAUCAACAAGCUGUAAAAAAAACCAUAGUUAUCAUUCGUGUUAAUUUCAGGGAUUAGUGUGACCAACGUGCCGAUACGCUAUUCUGUAACUGGACCAUAGACGAUAAACGCAUAUUGUUUGUACGUUAUAUGUUACAAGCGUUACAAGUACAAAGUAUCGAGACGCACGGCGCCCAAUGGCAUGGUAAGAUGUUCGCCAAUCGCUUCCGAGCUAUGAUCAUUAGUAAGUUGUCAUUCGAAGAUCAUUCAAGUAUAUUCAAAGUCAGCACCGAGAAUCGUCUAUUUAUCUGCCCCUGGAUGUUAAUGCCAGACCUCGUCACACUGAAAUCUGGCUAGAUGAUGACGGCCGGAAGCAAAGCCAAAAAGCUUCUAGCUGCUGCCAGUCAUGAUGAGAGUAUCACUGCUUGUUCUCAGGGUAACAUUUAGGCAAAAAAUUGAAUGUGAUCCGAUGCGGGCAAAGUCAUUGCACACUGGUGUCUAUAAUCUGCGACAGAAGAAUACUCGUUGCUAUAGACUUUUUACCAAUCGAAUUGGAUCUAUUAGUAGGCUGCAGAACUAACACAGUCCUAUAUCUGUCAACGACUUCCGUCUUAAGGCUGAUGACUAUAGCAUCUACAACAGGCUGCCUAUCGCGAAGAUAAGUAUGUCAAUAGUGUGCCGUGGGACGACCAGGGAUAAGAAACUGCCACUUAUUUCGUUUGCAUUUUUAAUAGAUGUCAUUAUUAGAGGACUUGAAAUCAUAAUUUACUUAAAUAACUGUCAAAAGAAAUUUGUUGACAAAUUUUCUAAGUAACAGUUGAUUUUAUACCCUGACGUUUGCGCGAUGUCGUCGUUGGCCUACCCUCGUCCUCAGGCGAUUUAUCUGCCUGUCCGAGGUAUUGCUGGGUGGGGCUUAGAAUUGAUCAUCAUUAAGCAAAAAAAACUAAUUGCACAGCAACAGCUUCCCAACACCGCGAACUACUCUUCCGAAGUGUGAAUAUAGUGAAAUUGACAGCGGCAUGAACGAUUUACUUAUUUUGCUUCAGCUAUUGCAGAUAACGGACGUGACCUCCAUGCUUCGUGAGGACGGUACUACACCACUUAAGCUUCAGUGGUAAAACACAGAGUUCCCUUUGUGACGUGUUGCCAUAAUAACAAUAAUAAUAAUAAUAAUACUAAUAACGACAACUUUUUCGUUCAAUCUGAAAAGCCUUGAGCGUACAUUUGAAUAAUUUAGCCAAUUUUUUUUGUAAAAUGCACAGGAUCAUGGAUUCGACCAUGUGAAAUUUAAAAUGCAUGUUUCUAUUUUCCAUUUCGAAUUUGUUAAACAUAAAGGUUGGUUGCAGCAAUCCCGAUACGGUAACUUUGUCGUCCUGCCAUUCAAACUCAUUACCUUGUUAGAGGAAUUUUAUAUUUUAACUACCUACACUUCUGCCCUAUUAUGUAUGCUUUUAUUACGUUUAUAUCAUCGCAUAGCUUAACUAUUACAUCAUGGUAAACAAUUACGUUGGCCCCUUGUCGAUUCACGGCUGGUUCAUCCAUUGCUAUUGUCUCAAGACGCAGCCGGCGGUCUAUCCACACGAGAUCUACUGGCUUCCCUUUGAGCCUAGUCGGCUGUAGUAAGUAUUAUCAAAACGAAGCGGAAAAACAAUAAUAUUAAUUAAGCAAGAACGUUGUAAAUUCAUAUGUGAUACAUUUAUGACCAUCAUAAAGUAAAAUUUUCUAUUUGUGUCAUCGGUCGACAGUUUUAUAAAAAAGGAAGAAGCGGUGAGUUGAAAAAUUGUUGCAAAUAACUGGUGGGUAAAUAGCGACCCCGUAGUACAUCAAGGAUCACACUAGGACGUUCAAGUUUACCGAGAGCGAACUGUGCUAGCCUAUGCUAUGGUGAUGAUAAAACCGGCAGUGAUGUCAGGACAUCCAGAAUUCGAAAAACGGACCUAAACGGCCACUAUUCGAGUUAAGUAUUUGCAGCUGUUAAGGUGUAUUUUCAAUUUUCAAACUAACCUGAUCAAUGAUGAUUAUAUUGGUUAGACUAAUGCUAAAAAUGUUAUAUACAUAUACAGUCAAGCAAAGCGCGUGUAAUAAACUGCUACUUUCUACACAGUUAAGGAACGUUCAUACACAAACGCAAGUUACGACUGGACUACUUACAGGUUUCUUCAAAAUCUGCAAAUAAUCGGCUUUUUCUUGCUUGCUGAUUUCUCUGUUCUCCCUGCCUUCAAGCCACAGCCAAGAUAGGACCCUGAAUUCGUAUACACAGAUCAGCAUAUAUAUAUAUAACUAAUAUUUAAUAUAACUGCAAGUAGCUCACGUCGGAUGCUUAACUUCAAUUAUUUUAAGCCCACGAUUAAAUUCACUUGCGUAGAAAUAUAAUGGAACAACAAAAACACGAAACUUACUGAUGCGACGACGAAGCUGGUAUUGUUACACAUCAUAGACAAACCCUCAAUUUUUUUCUAUGUCACUGAUGCUUGACUUCAAAUAAAGCUCUAGAAUAUCCGCCAAGCCCAGCG